rnacentral:lncRNA from 1 species
CAGUAUCUUCUAUGGAGAAAAAAGCAAAACAAAACAAAACAGAAAACCAAGGCCAAGCUCCAUGGACUCAAAGUACCCCAUUCUUGCCUCUUCCUGGAGCCGAGUCUUAAGUACAGUAGGCUUCAGGUUAAUCAGUUCUCAGACUCUGGCCCCAAGACAUGACCUCAGUUGAUAAAAACUCUCAUUAAGUCUGGCUCCCAGACAAGUGGCAUUCAGUCCUCGCCGUAGUUACCUCAACUUCUCAACCUGAAGGCCGGAAGAAGAGAACCGGAACCUAGAAAUGAAGAGGUUAAUCCUAUUAGCCAGUUUAGCUGUUCUGCUGUUGCAAGUGGUUCAUGGAGCCUCCAAAUACCAGGUCUUAAUGAAUGCCAAAAGAAAGGACAGCUUCUCUGAAGAGAACCCUAAUAAACAAUUGAAUUUGGGCCCAAAGGCUGUUGAACAAUCAGAAAAAGACAACCUUCUCACUGAGCCCAGACGGGAGCUUUUCACAGACUGGGAGGAAAACCAAGACACAGAUAUCUUGAGACGUUUUCGAAAUCUGAUGCAAUUACCUGAGGAAGACAGAGAUGUCCUUUACCACUCAAGAUCCACAGAGGAUAUCAUUGGAGAACCCAAAAUGUUGAGGAAGCCUUCUUAUGAAGUGCUACAGGGGCCAGAAGAGGACCGGGACCAUAUCUACCAUGCUGAAGAUUAACAGAUCAAAUAAUUUUUACCAACAGACCAAAGACUCAGCCAAAAAACACACCAUGCCAUUUUAUUCUCCAUGUUUUCUUUUUUUCUCUCCUAGUGGUAUUUACUAUGGCUGCUCUUUCCACACCAAUGAUAAGAAUGAUCAUAGGACCUAAUCCCCUCUCCUUUUAAAACAUCCAUGUUUGCUCUUUUUCAGACUUUAUUAAACAUCUUUUGAUUAUUAAGGCUAAUGUAAGAAUGGCCAUCCAAAUCACAACAUAUUGUGUUAAUAAUUCCAAAGAAAGUCCCAUACAAAAUUCAUGUAUCUUUGCUUUUAGAAUAUAGGAGAGACAGACAGACAGACACAGAGAGAGUCAUACUGAGGUUGUGAUCUGUCUACAUUGGUUUAAAAAGUUUAAAAAGAGGUUAGUCCUCUCCUGGCUUGGCUAUUUCAUCCCUCAAAGCCUAAUGCAGGGUAAAGAUCAUGUAUUUUAGUGCUCCCAGACCCCUCCUAUGAUUCCAUGAUAUAUUUACUCAUGAAAAUAAACAUAUACAAAGAAGCCA